CCUUGUGAAGAUCAAACUGAAAUGUUAAUUGAAAUUGCUGUUGAAAGUGGAAGGAUGACUCAUAAUCACCCCACAGGUUAUCUAGGGGCUGUUACUGCAGCUGUAUUUACAGCCUAUGCUAUACAGAAGAUGGCUCCAGAAAAAUGAUGAGCAGGACUUUUAAGUGUUUUACCCAAAGUUUGGGAAUACAUUGAGAAGGUUGGUCGUGAUGUAGAAGAA